rnacentral:rRNA from 1 species
GAUGAACGCUGGCGGCGCGCCUAACACAUGCAAGUCGAACGAUUAAACCGCCCUUGGGCGGAUAUACAGUGGCGAACGGGCGAGUAACGCGUGACCAACCUUCCCCCCGCAUCGGGACAACCCGGGGAAACCCGGGCUAAUACCGGAUAUGCCGGGUAUGGCGCAUGUCAUACCCAGGAAAGCUUUUGCGGCGGGGGAUGGGGUCGCGUCCCAUCAGGUAGACGGCGGGGUAGUAGCCCACCGUGCCAACGACGGGUAGCCGGGUUGAGAGACCGACCGGCCACAUUGGGACUGAGAUACGGCCCAGACUCCUACGGGAGGCAGCAGUGGGGAAUCUUGCGCAAUGGGGGAAACCCUGACGCAGCGACGCCGCGUGCGGGAUGGAGGCCUUCGGGCCGUGAACCGCUUUCAGCAGGGAAGACAUUAAGGACGGUA